rnacentral:lncRNA from 13 species
ACUCACCAUCUCUUGCAGGAUCCACCUGUUAUUCAGGCAGCUCUUCCCAAUCUGCCUUCUUAUUCAGACUCCUUGAAGUCCCACCAUGAGCUUGGAGGCAGUGCACCACAUAAAACCUCUCAGCCCGACUCAGCAAACCAGGUCAUGAGGGGGAGAAGCUCAUGUCUGUCUUGCAGCCUGAUUUCCCAUGGAAAGGCCCCGUGUUUACAGUUCUGGGGUUUCCCAGCAAAGAGUAACACUCCAGUUGGAAGCUCAUGUGGCCAAAGAAUGUCUCUGGAUCAGAGAAGGCAGAGAAUGAGAAAGUGAAGAAGAAAAGAAGGCAGAAAAGAGGGGGAAGGAAGAGAAAAAGAAGAAAAGCAGAAAGAAUGGAUUUAAAAACAACAGCAACUGGCCAGGCAUGGUGGUUCACGCCUGUAAUCCCAGCACUUUGGGAGGCCAAGGCAGGUGGAUCACCUGAGGUCAGAAGUUCGAGACCAGCCUGGCCAACAUGACUAAAAAUAUAAAAAUUAGUCAGGUGUGUUGGCGAGUGCCUGUAAUCCCAGCUACUCUGGAGUCUGAGGUGGGAGAAUUACUUGAACCCAGGAGACAGAGGUUGCAGUGAGCUGAGAUUGUGCCAUUGCACUCCAGUCUGGACAACAAGAGCAAAAUUCAAACUAAAAAACAACAACAACAAACACCAAUCGUCAUCGAAGCUGGAUAGUGAGAAUAAGGGAGCACCUCGCUAUUCCAUUUUUGCAUACAUUUUCCAUGCUAAAAAGGUAGCAAUAAUAAAUAUAAAAUGUGGUAAAGCA